UGGGGAAUCUUGGACAAUGGGCGAAAGCCUGAUCCAGCCAUGCCGCGUGAGUGACGAAGGUCUUCGGAUUGUAAAGCUCUUUUUGGCGGGGACGAUAAUGACGGUACCCGCAGAAUAAGCCCCGGCUAACUUCGUGCCAGCAGCCGCGGUAAUACGAAGGGGGCUAGCGUUGUUCGGAAUUACUGGGCGUAAAGCGCACGUAGGCGGAUUUGUAAGUCAGGGGUGAAAUCCCGGGGCUCAACCUCGGAACUGCCCUUGAUACUGCAAGUCUCGAUUCCGAUAGAGGUGAGUGGAAUUCCUAGUGUAGAGGUGAAAUUCGUAGAUAUUAGGAAGAACACCAGUGGCGAAGGCGGCUCACUGGAUCGGUACUGACGCUGAGGUGCGAAAGCGUGGGGAGCAAACAGGAUUAGAUACCCUCGUAGUCCCUGAGCGGGCUGGCAAGGCGCAU
rnacentral:rRNA from 1 species